GCCUUAAUGGUGGAAUGGUAGACACGCUAGUCUUAGGAACUAGUGCAUAAUGCGUGGAGGUUCGAGUCCUCUUUAAGGCA
rfam:Ostreococcus tauri chloroplast, complete genome.